rnacentral:rRNA from 1 species
UAUCUUCGGAUAUGAGUAGAGCGGCGGACGGGUGAGUAACGCGUAGGAAUCUACCUAGUAGAAGGGGAUAGCCCGGGGAAACCCGGAUUAAUACCGUAUACCUCCUUCGGGAGAAAGAAGGCCUCUCUUUGAAGCUUUCGCUACUAGAUGAGCCUGCGUAAGAUUAGCUUGUUGGUGAGGUAAAGGCUCACCAAGGCGACGAUCUUUAGCUGGUCUGAGAGGACGAUCAGCCACAUUGGGACUGAGACACGGCCCAGACUCCUACGGGAGGCAGCAGUGGGGAAUAUUGGACAAUGGGCGCAAGCCUGAUCCAGCCAUACCGCGUGUGUGAAGAAGGCCUUCGGGUUGUAAAGCACUUUAAGCAGGGAGAAAAAGUUAUAAGUUAAUACCUUAUAACCCUGAUGUUACCUGCAGAAUAAGCACCGGCUAAUUCCGUGCCAGCAGCCGCGGUAAUACGGAAGGUGCAAGCGUUAAUCGGAAUUACUGGGCGUAAAGCGCGCGUAGGUGGUUUGUUAAGUUGGAUGUGAAAGCCCUGGGCUCAACCUAGGAACUGCAUCCAAAACUAACUCACUAGAGUACGAUAGAGGGAGGUAGAAUUCAUAGUGUAGCGGUGGAAUGCGUAGAUAUUAUGAAGAAUACCAGUGGCGAAGGCGGCCUCCUGGAUCUGUACUGACACUGAGGUGCGAAAGCGUGGGUAGCGAACAGGAUUAGAUACCCUGGUAGUCCACGCCGUAAACGAUGACAACUAGCUGUUGGGAGACUAUGUCUUUCAGUGGCGCAGCUAACGCUUUAAGUUGUCCGCCUGGGGAGUACGGCCGCAAGGCUAAAACUCAAUGAAUUGACGGGACCCGCACAAGCGGUGGAGCAUGUGGUUUAUUCGAUGCACGCGAAAACCUUACCUACUCUUGACAUACUU